GGAUCCCCACCUACACAAUCAGAUGCUCAUGCAUUAACAGAGAUUGCCGCUUGCAGCAGCGUCCUGCAAGAAGUUGAAGAGAAUCAUAAUGAACAGAAUAUUGAAGGAGAGGAAACUUUGCUCCUUUUUGAAGAUGAUUCAGAAAAUGUUGAAUACGUUCUGAAUUUACAACCAAUACAGGAGACAUCUCCUGUACAUUCCUCAAGUACAAAUGUAGAAGUACCAGAAGAAGAAAUUGGAGAUGUACACGAAGAUAUCCAACAAGAAGCACAAGCACCAACUGAAGAGGCAAUAUCAGUAAAUUUGGUUAACAUUCUGCAAUUAGCCACAAAUUUUCAGAAUGAACAAAGGGCUUUUUUU